CGACUUAGCUCAAUAGGUAGAGCAACUGACUUGUAAUCAGUAGGUUGAGGGUUCAAUUCCUUUAGUCGGC
rnacentral:tRNA from 1 species